rnacentral:rRNA from 1 species
GUGCCAGCCGCCGCGGUAAUACGGGGGGGGCAAGCGUUGUUCGGAAUUACUGGGCGUAAAGGGCUCGUAGGCGGCCAACUAAGUCCGACGUGAAAUCCCCAGGCUUAACCUGGGAACUGCGUCGGAUACUGGAUGGCUUGAAUCCGGGAGAGGGAUGCGGAAUUCCAGGUGUAGCGGUGAAAUGCGUAGAGAUCCGGAGGAACACCGAAGGCGAAGGCAGUGUCCUGGCGAGUGACUGACGCUGAGGUGCGAAAGCCAGGGGAGCGAACGGGAUUAGAUACCCCGGUAGUCCUGGCCGUAAACGAUGACCACCAGGUGUGGGAGGUAUCGACUCCUUCCGUGCCAAAGUAAACACAUUAAGUGGUCCGCCUGGGGAGUACGGUCGCAAGAUUAAAACUUAAAUGAAUUGACGG